rnacentral:rRNA from 1 species
CGAAGGGUGCAAGCGUUACUCGGAAUUACUGGGCGUAAAGCGUGCGUAGGCGGUUUGUUAAGUCUGUCGUGAAAGCCCCGGGCUCAACCUGGGAAUGGCGAUGGAUACUGGCGAGCUAGAGUACGGUAGAGGAGAGUGGAAUUCCCGGUGUAGCAGUGAAAUGCGUAGAGAUCGGGAGGAACAUCAGUUGCGAAGGCGGCUCUCUGGACCAGUACUGACGCUGAGGCACGAAAGCGUGGGGAGCAAACAGGAUUAGAUACCCUGGUAGUCCACGCCCUAAACGAUGCGAACUGGACGUUGGGAGCAAUUAGGCUCUCAGUGUCGAAGCUAACGCGUUAAGUUCGCCGCCUGGGGAGUACGGUCGCAAGACUG